rnacentral:rRNA from 1 species
GGCGGACGGGUGAGUAAUGUAUAGUUAAUCUGCCCUUUAGAGGGGGAUAACAGUUGGAAACGACUGCUAAUACCCCAUACUCCUUCUAUGUUAAUCAUAGUUGGGAGACGUUUUUUCGCUAAAGGAUGAGACUAUAUGGUAUCAGGUAGUUGGUGGGGUAGGAGCCUACCAAGCCAAUGACGCCUAGCUGGUCUGAGAGGAUGAUCAGCCACACUGGAACCGAGACACGGUCCAG